rnacentral:rRNA from 1 species
UACGAAGGGGGCUAGCGUUGCUCGGAAUUACUGGGCGUAAAGGGCGCGUAGGCGGACAGUUUAGUCAGAGGUGAAAGCCCAGGGCUCAACCCUGGAAUUGCCUUUGAUACUGGCUGUCUUGAGUACGGGAGAGGUGUGUGGAACUCCGAGUGUAGAGGUGAAAUUCGUAGAUAUUCGCAAGAACACCAGUGGCGAAGGCGGCUCACUGGCCCGAUACUGACGCUGAGGUGCGAAAGCGUGGGGAGCAAACAGG